rnacentral:lncRNA from 1 species
GGCAGUGGGCCUGGAGCACAUCAAGAUGUCGACCACGACGGUUCCGGAGCUGAAGCAGAUCAGUCGGGAGGAAGCAAUGCGCUUGGGGCCCGGCUGGAGCCAUUCAUGCCACGCCAUGCUGUACGCUGCCAACCCCGGGCAACUUUUCGGCCGUAUCCCCAUGCGUUUCUCAGUACUGAUGCAGAUGCGCUUCGAUGGGCUGCUGGGCUUUCCCGGGGGUUUCGUGGACCGCCGCUUCUGGUCACUGGAGGAUGGCUUGAACCGGGUCCUGGGUCUGGGCCUGGGCGGCCUACGCCUUACUGAAGCUGACUACCUGAGUUCACACCUGACUGAGGGUCCACACCGUGUGGUGGCACACCUGUACGCACGGCAGCUGACGCUGGAACAGCUGCAUGCUGUGGAGAUCAGCGCUGUGCACUCGCGGGACCACGGUUUGGAGGUGGGACUACUGCCUGGGGCCCGCCCCCGUUCCCACUCCUGAGGUUUGGCUCUGGCACCACAGAAGGCACCAAUGGGUAACAAGUGCCCCUCAGGGUCCUCACCCUGGCUUUGUUGGAUGGGAAGAGGGACUUGGGAUCUGGGUCAUGGGCUGUUUACAUUGCCUUGUUGCCUGCCAUUGUCAAUCCUGGGAGUGGGGCUUGGGGUCACUGGAAGGGAUGAUCAGGGCCUGCUUGGAAAAUUGAGAACAGACAAAACAAAAAACAAACAAAACAAAAACCGGAUUGUAGCGUUUAGGAUUACCUCCUGAGGAAAUUUGGGGAUUUGAGGAUUCUCUGGUCUAAAGGGCAUAGAGUGAAACUAGUGAUCAUGGGAGUUGCAGCCAGACAGGGUGGGGAGUGCGUAGGAUUGGCCUUGAAACUUGGGGAGAAGGGGCUUUACUGCAUUAGCAAUGCCUGGC